ACGGAAGGCAGCAGUGGGGAAUAUUAGGCAAUGGGGGCAACCCUGACCUAGCAACGCCGCGUGAAGGAAGAAGGCCUUCGGGUUGUAAACUUCUUUUAUAGGGGACGAAAGAAAUGACGGUACCCUAUGAAUAAGCCACGGCUAACUACGUGCCAGCAGCCGCGGUAAUACGUAGGUGGCAAGCGUUGUCCGGAUUUACUGGGUGUAAAGGGCGCGUAGGCGGGAUGGCAAGUCAGAUGUGAAAUCCAUGGCUCAACCCAUGAACUGCAUUUGAAACUGUUAUUCUUGAGUAUCGGAGAGGCAAGCGGAAUUCCUAGUGUAGCGGUGAAAUGCGUAGAUAUUCGGAGGAACACCAGUGGCGAAGGCGGCUUGCUGGGCUCUAACUGACGCUGAGGCUCGAAAGUGUGGGGAGCAAACAGGAUUAGGUACCCUGGUA
rnacentral:rRNA from 1 species